rnacentral:tRNA from 1 species
UCCCAUAUGGCUCAGUUGGUAGAGCAUGGCGCUUGCAACGCCAGGAUUGUGGGUUUGAUUCCCACAGGGGAC